rnacentral:snoRNA from 1 species
UUCAAGUGAUGAUUAUUCAUAUUUGCUACUUCAGACGUUGCUUGCCAGCUUCGAAUGAGACAUACCAUUUUAUCACCAAGAUCUCUGAUUGAA